AUGGGCACGACCGUGGACACGGCCAUGGGCGCGGCCGAGGUCAUGGUCAUGAUCAUUAUAGUUCCCGAAAUUGAGGAAGUUAUUCAAACAAGAAAAACACAUCAUACCACUAAUAGUGGAAUAAUAAUGAAAGAAAAGGAAAAAGAAAGUUGUGCAUAAUUCCCAAAAGAAAGAUGAUGAUGCUUGCUACAAGUGUGGAAUAAAAGGACACUGGUCACGUACAUAUCGUAUGCCAAAACAUCUUGUUAAUCUAUAUCAAGAAUCAAUUAAGGGAAAGGGAAAAGAGAAACAAACAAACUAUACUGAUUUCGAAUAACAUUUUUGGUGAUUUCAAUGAGCCGAUAGACAUCACCCAUUUAGAGGUUUCUAAUUUCUUUAUAGAAACAAGUGGAAACAUUGAUCGCACAAUCAAUGAAGGAAAUGCCAAUGAUGAUGACAAGGCUAACAAUGAUGGCAUUGAUGACAUGAAUGUUGAUUAA
rnacentral:lncRNA from 1 species